rnacentral:rRNA from 1 species
GAUGAACGCUGGCGGCGUGCCUAAUACAUGCAAGUCGAGCGAACAGACGAGGAGCUUGCUCCUCUGACGUUAGCGGUGGACGGGUGAGUAACACGUGGAUAACCUACCUAUAAGACUGGGAUAACUUCGGGAAACCGGAGCUAAUACCGGAUAACAUGUUGAACCGCAUGGUUCAACAGUGAAAGACGGUCUUGCUGUCACUUAUAGAUGGAUCCGCGCCGCAUUAGCUAGUUGGUAAGGUAACGGCUUACCAAGGCAACGAUGCAUAGCCGACCUGAGAGGGUGAUCGGCCACACUGGAACUGAGACACGGUCCAGACUCCUACGGGAGGCAGCAGUAGGGAAUCUUCCGCAAUGGGCGAAAGCCUGACGGAGCAACGCCGCGUGAGUGAAGAAGGUCUUCGGAUCGUAAAACUCUGUUAUUAGGGAAGAACAAAUGUGUAAGUAACUAUGCACGUCUUGACGGUACCUAAUCAGAAAGCCACGGCUAACUACGUG